AAGGAGGGAUCAAAAAAUUCUAAAAGUAAAAAUGUAUAUAUUUUCAUCUCUUAUGUAGUUUUUGGUCGAACAAAUUUCAUGAAACCAAAUUAAAUUUGUGGGCAGUUUGAAAAAAUUCAUCGCUGAGGAAAGAUCGCUAGUUUUUAGGAAUUUAAAAUCGAACGAGUCUAGGAAUCGAAUAAAAAAAAUAUAUCUUUAUUUAUUUACUGUGAAUAAAAAAAAUCGUCAAUAUGUUUAAAAAUCAUUUGGAAAUGAUUGGGAGAAAUGAAACCCCCAGCAAAAAAGCUAAAUUCUGGCAAUCAUACAUCAGAUCAUUGAAAGGAUCUGAAGAUAUCCGUGCCCAUGAUACACCAAAAGCACGUUCAUUUAGGCCAUACAGUGCAUACGUUGACUCGCCAUCGACCUACCGCAGCAUUUUUGAUGAGCCUGCAACUCCAUCUGAAAGAAUUCAAUCCCUCGGAUACAGAUACCAACCCGUUUCUAGGGAUACAUACGGAUACUCUCCACGCGCUAUCUAUGAUCACCACUACAGCAGAACAAUUCCAGCAAGCUAUGACGCUGAAAGAGCAUGGAAUGAACAUUUGAAGCGCAUGCAGGAAAUUGAGCACAGGUACCCAUCUCGCUACGGUCUGUACCUUAAGGACAAGCCAACUGCACCAAAUGCCCUUAUUCCUCAGGAAUACGAACCCGAAGACAAGCUUCUUCAGCAACUCAAUAAGGCUCGUCGCUCUGCCUCACCUGUACCAUUGUACCGUGCAGGAAGUGCACCACGUUCAUUAAGUGUCCCACCACUAGAACCUUAUGUUCCUCCAGCAUACGACAGGGCUGCAAGUGUCGCACCAAGGUCCUACCGGGCGAGUUCAAUAGAACCUUUGCCACUCCGUGCUCGCUCUGUGGAUCCCUACAUACCUGAUUUGUUCAGUAAGUUUGACAGACUAAGUCCAUUUGAACGUGCCGGUUCACCUACACCCGUAAAACCUGGUCGCUGGGGACCACGUCCAACUGAAAUUGCCUAUGACUCUGACGGACUCCCAGUCUUCCACCCAAGGAACCGUUUUAGGGAUCUUUUUGAACCAAAUGUAAAUGCUCCCAUUUCAUCAUUCGCUCGGGACCCCUUCUGGUGGGAUAUUGAUGAUUUGGCUCCUUACCGCGGCUACCCCAGGUCAUACACACCACCAUUGGUCAGAGACUCGUUUUUAUCUCCAGUAAAAAAUCGCUACUUAUGGGCCAAGCACCCAGCUAGGCCUCUUCUCGGAGAGGAAUAGAUUCGUGGAUAUUCCAACUACUUAACUUUUUUUAACGAUAUAACACAUAUGAACUCUUAAAAAUAACGAAUUUAUAAAGCACUUCAUUUUAUUAAACUUUUUACUAAAAUCGAAGAAAAAGAAGCUAGUAGAUAAUGAUUACUAAACAAAGUAUACAAGAUUUCUCGCUAUCACUACUGAGCCCAAAAUCAAUUUACUUUGUGCCCUACAAGAAAAACAACGAAUAAAAUUUAUAUCUAGCCAUCAUCCUCAACGAAAAAAAAUCGACCACGAAAGAUUUCCUGCCCAAGUAUUUACAGAAUGAUCAGAAUAACGAAUAUUUAAAAAAAAAGUUUAAACAUUGUUACUGUUGUUAAUUUUUUAUAUUUUCCAAUAAAUGUUACAUGGUAUUUAAUUAAA